GUCGAUGUGGUGGAAUGGUAGACACGUGCGUUUCAGGUGCGCAUGGAGCAAUCCUUAGGAGUUCGAGUCUCCUCAUCGACA
rnacentral:tRNA from 1 species